rnacentral:tRNA from 1 species
GACUUUUUAACUAUAUAAGUAUAUAUUUUGAAAAUAUAAAAAAGAGAAUCUCUCUAUUAGUCU